GACAUCCGUUUCGUUCUUUUUUACUACAAUGCGAAAUGAGUGGCCGGAAAAAGGAUUCGGUUUUUUUAUCGUAAAAACUUUCACGUGCAGUGAAAAAGUGAAUGUACAAUUUGCCAUGUUAAGGUUAUUACAAAUUGCUCGAAUAGUGAUCAAUUAUAAUUGUGACAAAAGCGAUGCAAGAGCAAAACGAAUUGAAACACAGAAUAGAUAGAAAGAAAUUUAUAAAAAAAAUUCAAUCAAGUGUCAACAAUCUGAAUAAUGUAUAUUAGUGCAGUGCAGCGGGCCAAUUUAAUUUAGUUAUUUCAAGUUGUCUGGUGUGAGCGUUUGAGCGCAACUUCGACGAUGUCAGCUUACGGAAUGUUGGGUGGUGUGGCUGGUCGACAUAUGUCGACGAGACGAAGAGGAUCGUCGCCUGCAGUUCGCAUUGGAAACAAUCUAACACUUUCAUUGGAUGAAGCCAAUGGCGCGCCAAAGCUACCGCCUCGAAGACGACGCGCCGUUACAACAAUGGACCACAAAAGCUGUGCCCUUAUACAAACGAGACUGAAACUAGGUGAUAUAAUGUAAG